rnacentral:rRNA from 1 species
UACGUAGGUGGCAAGCGUUGUCCGGAUUUAUUGGGUUUAAAGGGUGCGUAGGUGGUCAAUUAAGUCAGUGCUGAAAUAUCCCGGCUUAACCGGGAGGGUGGCAUUGAUACUGAUUGACUUGAGUGGAGUCGAGGUAGGCGGAAUUGACGGUGUAGCGGUGAAAUGCUUAGAUAUCGUCAAGAACACCGAUAGUGCAGACAGCUUACUAGGCUCUAACUGACACUGAGGCACGAAAGUGUGGGGAUCAAACAGG